AGUGAACGCUGGCGGUAGGCCUAACACAUGCAAGUCGAACGGCAGCACAGGAGAGCUUGCUCUCUGGGUGACGAGUGGCGGACGGGUGAGGAAUACAUCGGAAUCUACUUUUUCGUGGGGGAUAACGUAGGGAAACAUACGCUAAUACCGCAUACGACCUACGGGUGAAAGCAGGGGAUCUUCGGACCUUGCGCGAUUGAAUGAGCCGAUGUCGGAUUAGCUAGUUGGCGGGGUAAAGGCCCACCAAGGCGACGAUCCGUAGCUGGUCUGAGAGAAUGAUCAGCCACACUGGAACUGAGACACGGUCCAGACUCCUACGGGAGGCAGCAGUGGGGAAUAUUGGACAAUGGGCGCAAGCCUGAUCCAGCCAUACCGCGUGGGUGAAGAAGGCCUUCGGGUUGUAAAGCCCUUUUGUUGGGAAAGAAAUCCAGCUGGUUAAUACCCGGUUGGGAUGACGGUACCCAAAGAAUAAGCACCGGCUAACUUCGUGCCAGCCGCCGCCGUAA
rnacentral:rRNA from 1 species